GGGCAGAGACGCACUGCCUUUAGACCCGAUCGGUACAGAAGCGUCAGGUCGGUGUUGCGAUAUUAGAUCGCUUGGUUUUAUUUAUUAUUUUUCUGAUUUUGAUUCGGUUGCAUUGGUUACACUAGUGAGACAUUAGAUUGCAGCAUAAUACUCUCGAACGAGGUGUGGCUCGGAGUGCAGUACAAUCAAUAACACAAGUGCUUUGUUUAACCUGUUAAUGUAAACGGAUUUGUGUUGUUCAGUUCUCAUCGAUUAGCAGAUAAUGGCAGCCAUGGUGAUCGCAGCCAUUGUGUUCAGCGGUGCAGCCGCAAGUUCGUUGUUUUCCGCUCAAGGUCACACCGGAAAUGGGUCCAUUAUUCACUCUUCCGGAAACUUCGAAGUGAUGGAUCUUAUGGUGAAAAAGUUUUUUCUUGGUUGUGAUUGGUCUAUUCUACAUCAUUCAACUGGUCCGAUUUCUGGCGAUUCCUUUGCGCGAACAGCUCGAUGACACGGAGGAGACGCGACGCGCUAAGCGGCUUUGCCAGAUACUGCUGAGAGCAUUCCUGGCGGCUGCUUAGCUCUGCAUGGCUGCAAGGUCACACCGAUGGCACAAACACUUGUCCCAUUAUUCCACAGUGAUAGAAUAAAAAGUCAGAAAAAUCUCUAGAAUAAUUAGACUACAUCUUUUAGAUGUUUCUCGUUUUUCAUUGAUCAGCGAUAUUUUUUUUUAUAAUAUUAACCUCAACUACUAAACCUCAAAUAAGCAUUUGAUAUUAUAUUUUGUCAACUUGUGAUAAAAACAUUCAUAUAGCAUAUUGAAAAUGUGUGUAGUAAACUCAUAUUUGUUUUGUUAUUGCUGUAACAGAAGUAAACGCUUGUAUGGUUAGGAUUCAAUAAUGUCGGAAAUCAUUCCAUUUUCAAGAGAGAAUCCCAUUAACAUGAUCAAAUUAUAGAAGUGUGUACGAGCAAUUUAUCGAGUAAUUUAGCGGGUAAAACCUGAUGUACACAGAAGCACUGUUUACAUGUUCACUUUGGAAUCGCAAAUUACACGCCUAGGAUUAGGAUCUGCAUUGUGAUUUUUGUGUAUGCUCUACGCAUUACCAUAUAUCGUCUCCAUUCGGUCGUACGGUUGACGAUUAGUAUUACUAAAACAAAUUGUUCCAAGGUGAAGUGGUGAAGCCGAUCGAAAUAAAAAGGUGGCGAUGUGAUAUCUGUA